rnacentral:tRNA from 1 species
GCCCUCAUAGCUCAGUGGAUAGAGCAACAGCCUCCUAAGCUGUGGGUCGAAGGUUCGAGUCCUUCUGAGGGCG